CUAUGACUCCCGCCCUGCGUCCGUCUCGCUCCGCCGGUCUUCCAAGCCAGGCAGCCUGGCCGAGAGGAGAGUGCGCAUGCGGGGGACGCCCGGACCUCCUUUCCGCUUGCGGGAGACGAUACCUUCUCCGACGUCUACUUACGCGCUUCCUCCGCCCUGCGCGCAUGCGCAAUCCUGCGCCCCGCUUCCCGGAGACACUGCGCGGCCGAGCUCGGACUGCGCAUGUGCCGGCAGCAGAUAAUCACUGUAAAAUAAUAGGAUCAUCAAUGGAUCAAAGGAUCAAAAUGCUGUUUUCACAGGAAAUUCAAAAGUUCAAGGAUGCCAUGAGGAAACAACAAGGCAAAUCCAGAAUAUGGAGCAACUGGCUUCUUCCAAAUACUGAAGUCAAGAAGAGAAACAGAAGAGGGGAAAAUGUACUUAAAAACUGAGCUGAAAAGGACUAGAGGUGUGCAAUAGUACACAAGGUCUGUGACCACCCCUGGGCCUUGGUAUGCUAGAAUUGAUGCAGGAACCAAAGGCAGAUGAAAAAUUAUUAAAUUUCCUUACUACCUACAGCCCACUGACAAGUCCUUGAAACAGGCAGAGUGACCUUCGUCUGGGGACUCAACUGUCUCGAUGUUGACAAUUCGCUAAGGGCAAAGGCAAUCUUAGGUCCAACCCCCAGGAUCCUGUAAGUCUACUUUAACAUAUAAAAAUUCCUUUGGAAACUUCCUUUAUCUCUAAACCCAAGAUACUGUUGGUAAUCAGCCCACUGAUAUACAUCUGAAGGGUCUCAUGACUAGGUUUUAUUAGAUGGUAAUAAAUUACCUUUUCACAAAAAUAGCUAGCCCCUCAAGGCCCUGGAAACCUUGCUUCGAAAUUCCUUAGAG